UGACAGCUACACGGAGCCAGUCAAUACCUCCCAGCGAGAGGGAACGUUUCCUCCCUACCUUCUGCUACUGACCGUGGGUGGAUCUCUGACGCUAAUUAGAGACACAGAAAUCCUCAAAGUAUUAACCACAAAUAGCACUCUUGAAGGCACUUGUCCUUUUUUUUUUUUUUUUUUUUUUGACUUAGAGUGUUUAUUUCCCUUAGUUCUUCUCUAUUUUUCUUUCAAAGUAAAGAAGCCCCUACUUGAUCCGAGAGACACUCAGCGCCCCAGGUAGAUAUAUACAGGGUGUACGUUUUGGGAAGACGACGCCUCUCUCCUACCCUGCGCUCCUCAGGCCGGCCGAAAAUACAGGCGUUCCCCAAAAUAGUAUGGCCUUUCUGUCGGAGACACGCCACCUGAACGCGAAAUCAAACCUACUCACCGGGUGAAAUUGCAGGAGGCGAAGCGGCUGUGGGCAAAACGCAUCCCGGCUCCGAGCACAUAGUCCAUGUUCUGCGGCUUCAGGCUAGAGCAGGGCUGAGCAGGGCGGGGGGACUUGGGGAACCGGCAGCAGUUCUGUGUGUGAAACAACCCAUUUACACCCUGCGUGCCUGUCUGUGUGUGUGUGUAGGGCAGAGAGAGGCUCCAGACCCAAAACGGGGAAAGGAGGGGAGGAGGGAGGGAGGAGAGAGAAGGAGGAGGAGGAGGAGAGAGGGAAGCAAACCCGAAUAGCGAGAGGAGUUGCGGAGAGGAAUGGGAUUUGCUGGGGUUGAGGUGGGUUUUUUUGGUGGUGAUGGAAGCGAUUCUCGAGGAAAGAAUAAUAAACUGCGGGAUCUCAGCAGCAGGCAGGAUGGAGAGGGGCUUUGCCCAGGCAGGUUCUCUGUAUGGAAAUCACGAGCUGGCUCGGUGGAAAAAUCUCCCUUUUCUUCGCAUAGUGCCUCUGGAAUGUGUGCGGAAUCUCAAGGUGUGUGGGGGAGAGGGAGGCAGUGCCAGCAUUUAUGGAGGUUGGUGUGUGUCCCCCCCCUACCCCUAGUCCCUCUCCUCCAUCCGUGCUGUGAGCAGACACGCGUUCAUGGCUGAUAAAAACGCUUUUCCCUGUGUACAAUUGGGCUGAGAGCUAAACCGAAAGCCAGCCCGUGUCCGGGAACAGCCUGCAGAUCAACCGGGAGCUUUGGCAUCCCUGCGGUGUCGCCUGGCUGUGUUCACCUCAUGCUUCCCAGGAUCAAUAAGCACACUAACCAUACCGAUUAUGUGAUGCACACGUUGGGCAGUCCGGAGUGACCGCAGCAUUACACCAGCGCUUGUCUGCUGUGCUACAUGUGGUCUUCAAAAAGAGAUGGUAAUUUCUGUGGAGCUUUUUGAUCAAGAAAGUUUUUUGUCUUCUCUCCGUUACCUCUGUAAGCACCAGUUCAAAGCUGCCGUUUGCCAGUCUGGCAGUUUUAUGUUUCCAGAAUCUGCCGUGAAAUAUUCGGAAACCACAGAAACCCAAGAUUCCUCUGGCAUCACGUGUGUUUGUUCCUGUCAGCAUGUUUAAUCAUUUUUAUGCUAAAUGAGCUGAUCUUAGUAAUGAUUUGCCCUGCCUGGGGUUUUAUUGACUUUUUCGUUAGCAAGGAGGUGAGAAAAGGAUUGAAGGAAGGAUGUUACAGUUUGUGAAAAAAAUUGCAGUGUCCAUUUCAAUUGUAGUAGCUGUUAAAUAUGUAGGCACAUGUAUGCUGCCUUAUGCAGUUAUAAAAAUGAAAGACAUGCCAUCUUGCCUCUUUGCCUCAGAAUAUGAUUUCUCUCACAGCAACAAGUAGCACAGGCUCUUCUCUCCCCUUUUCUCCUCCCCUUCAGCCCCUCCUGACAAAAUGCCAGUUAUAAAGGUCAGCCUGUUUAUGUAAAGACUGUGUGUUUCUUAACAAAGACCGCUGCACAUCAAGCCUGCAAUGGCUAUCAAAUAGACUUGGGGUUCAAGACACUCAAUAAGAGCACUGUCCAUUUUCUAGGACUGAUAAAAUCCCAGGCAAAACAAGACAAAGAGCUGUAGUGUGUGGCUGGGGUAGGUCACCAGCACCAGGGUGCACACGGGCAGCAGUGUUUUCAUAGCAGUGUUUGGUGCUGCAAAUGUUGGCAAGAUCCAUUGGAGCUGUGUUUCCUCCUCUCUCUAAUGAUGUCCUUAGGCUGAACUUGCUUUGCAGCUCCUUCACACCAAAGGCAGCUUAAAUCAGCCAAGGAGAAUUUUGAGUCUGACCAACCCCACUCUCCCAAUAGAAGAGAAGAAAGAGAUUGACUUCAUUAGGCUUUGGCUUCGCAAUGAGGUGUUUUCAUUCCACAGCAUCCAGUCUAAUCUUUAUUUCACUGUGCUCUCUUUCCCUCCCUGCCACGUUCUUUCACCCGAAGAGCAGUACAACUUGGUUUCCUCAACCAGUAUAACCUCUGCUGGUCCUUUUCCACUUUAAAUCUAAUAAGAAUAUUCUGAUAUUAUUCACUUCCUAGAAUUAUAGAAUCACAGAAUGCUUUGGUUAGAAGGGACAUUAAAGAUCAUCUCGUUCCAACCCCCUAACACAAGUAGGGACACCUUCCACUAGACCAGGUUGUUGUUUUUUAACCUAAAGGGUAAAAAAAGUUACUUUAUAAUUACAACACAGACCUGCAACAGUGGUCAACUCCAAGACCUAAUUGUGGCCACAGGUCACUUUUGGCUCUUAAAAAUCACCCUGAAGCAGAGGUAAAGGGUUGUAGAGGACUAUGAUGCUUUUUGUUCAAUGAUGUUAAUAAUCUAUGGCCUUAGAACAUGAUAUCACAAAGUCUCAUCCUAGGGCAGAAUAAUGGAAUCACAAGCAAUGGAACGGGGCAGAAACUUAUAUCACUCCCCAAAAUGCUAAAUGCAAACUGGGACCCAAUCUGAACUGAGGAGCUGCCCGUAAUGAUGUGAGACGGGAGGCACACUUCAAGUCCUCCCAUCCUAAAAGCCUUGUGGCCCUGAAUUACAGGCCAUUAGAUUCCUUUGUCCUGUAAAUCUGCGUUAAAUAGCAGCGUGAUUCUGGGUUGGUGAACUGCAGAUUUUAACAGCUUAUCCCAUAAUAUUUUAAUUUUUCUUUACUUCAUAUAUUGAGCCUUUUCACCCCUUUUCUCCCAGGACCUGCUUAUGCUUCUCUUUAGCUACCGAAAAAUGUACGUAAUUUAUUAAGCCAGUUCAGUAGUUCUCUUAGUUUCCAACAGACAAACCUAUUAUGCAAACAAUACUGUCACCUUCUUGCAGUGCCUUCUCCCGGCUGUAAUGAAUUCUCUGCAUGCUACUCUGCUGUAAAUUCUCCAUCUAAAAAUUCCAUGCACUACGUGUUUUGUCAGGGGAAACUGUACUUGACUUUUGAAACAGUUGGGAGGAACAAAAUGAUAACCUACUAAAGUGCCUUGCCCUUAACUGAAAUUAUGGCAAGUAAUUAAAGUUAGAGCAGAAAGACUUAAACUUUGGACUGCUUAUGUUCUUAGCGUUUUUGCUCGGAUGAGGGUUGGGUUUUUUUUUUCUUAGAUGUCUGAUUUGAAUGUCAAAUUUGCAUAUUCAUCUAGAAAACAUAGGGAAUGCUUAAUUGCCUGUGUCCAGUGUUCAUAUUUUUCUUGGGAAACAAUGUUUCAUACACUCAUGGGUUUCAUUUCUAGUUGCUAUUUGCAUCCAUAAAUUGAACUGGGUGUCUAAACAAGUCCCGUAUUUGCUGAUUAUGCAAACAAAUAUGCCA